ACGGAGGCGGUGGGUGGGGAAAGGUGGGGUCGCGGGACACACAAGGGUCGCCACCGCUGCCCACCCGGGCCAUGUUCGGUCUCCACGCGGCGGAUCCAGAAGUGAAACUGCGUGGGAGUCACCGCGCAGAGCCUCGCACAGGGCUAUCGGGCGGGCCAGGGGAGGGCGUGGGGCCCGGGUCCUGGGGCGUUCAUGCUUCGCCACCCGGAGACCUCCCGAGGCGCGAGCUGAGCCUGGGAGCCGAGCACACACUCGCGUUUCCCGAGCCGGCCGCUGAGUGUCGCUGCAGGCGCGCGUCUGGGCGGCGCUCACAUCUACCGUCCAGCCUUACCCCAAGGAGCUCGAUGGAGAAGAGGGCCGGCCUUAGCGAACAGCCGCCUCCUUCUCGGGCCUGGGGACGGCGAUGCCUACGGGGAACCUCAGUGGGCAGAGUUCAGAGGCACACGCCCGUAAUCCGGCACUCGGAAGCUGAGGCAAGAGGAUCUCAAAUUCCAGGCCAGCGAGUUCAAAAUUAGCCUGGCAUGGUGGCGCAGGCCUGUCAUUCCAGCUCUCAGGAGGCUGAGGCAGGAGGAUCAUUGCGAGUUGGAGACCAUCCUGGGCUACAAAGUGAGCUCAAGGCCAGCCUGAACUGCAUAGGAGACCUUGUCUCAAAAAAAGAAAAGAAAAGGAAAAAAAAGUCAGCUGUGAGUAUAAUGAAGUGCUAGGCCACCCUUGCGUUGUUGGAGCAGAAGGGUAGGCGAUGGACCAUGGACGUAGCUCCCCUUGCACAUGGGUCCGGACUGUGGCUGCAACCUCCCGAGGUCUCACUAGAGCUACCCUCUUCGCCCUAGCUCUUCUCUUGUGACGUUGCCAGGGGGCUCUGCUUGGAGAAGGAGCCUGCACAGGGUCCAGGAGGCACUAGAGGGCCAGUGGGCCAGGACCCAAGAGGCGGAAGGUCCCGGGGUCCCUGGCAACACUGGAAUCAUGCCUAUAUGAACGCCCACUUCCACCUAUUCCUAAGGAGACUUGGAGUGCAGAUGCUGGGGAACUCACAGCUGGUCAUGGGAGCCCCCCUCCCUGUCCCUCACACAGUUGCCCCUCAAACCCUGAGGUCCCAGCGCCCACUUCCCACAGCCGGUACCACAGAGGGAUCCAGUGGGAUGGCCCUAAUGGAGUGGCUUGAGCGGCCUCGGUUCCUGCGAACUGGCCCUGCACUGCCCUGUCCUUGACCCCCGGUGCUGCCAUCCUCAGUCCGGCUGCAGUCAGAGCUGAGAUCUUGCCCGGGGGCCCCUCACCCACACCCUCAUCUGAGGCAUCUCCAAAAGCCACUGGCGGCAGCCACCCACCUCGGUGCCAGGGCCAGGUGCCCUUGCUCUAAGGACUCCCAGCUGUCCAGUCCAUUCUGGAAGAUGAACAGCCAAGCGCAGGGCAGGGAGCAACUCAUCCCACCUCUUUCCCCCUGGGCUCACUGUUCCUAACUGUCCUGUGACCCCAGGAAGAUGUCUUUGAGCCUCAGUUUCACAUUUGUGAAAUGGAAGCCUGCUAGUCCCCCAGAGACCCCCCCCCCCCCCGCUUAGUGACCAACCCCAAGGCAGUGAGGGACUGGGGUCUCCUGUGCAACCUAAACCCCUGGACUGGCUUAGGAGGUGCCCCAUCUUCCUCCCCACCCCAAACCCUGCACUGUACCUCAGAAGUGGACCUGGGCACCUGUGGGCAGCCACAUAGCCAGCACCAGCCAGUUAAGUGUCCCGGGGACCCAGUGGUGGGGACAGACCUGGGUAGGUGAUGGGUGGAAGGCCACCUGGUCCCUGCCUCGAGUCUGCUAAAAAAAUGGUGUGAAAUCCACCACCUCAUCUGCUUGGCUAGAAUGUGUGGAGUCCCCCUAACCCCAAAUCAGGGAACCUUGGACACAGGUGGUUGCCAGGACUACUAAACUUUGCCCUGGGGCUCACUGCAGUGGCCAGAGCUGCAGGUGGUGACAGAUCUAUCAGCCUCACCGGAGGACAACCUGACAGCCAGCUGGCCAGCCCAGGUCAGGGCUUCACACUUGGAGCCAGGCUGCAGUCCUGGCUAUCCCCAUGCUGUCAUUUCACCUGUGAUACCUCAGAAUGCAUCUCGGUUUUGGUUUUUACACUAUUGAGGAUGGAACCAGGGUCUUGGCACUGACCUGCAUCUCCAGGCUCUUCAUUUUUUAACUUUGAAAUAGGUUCUUACUAAAUCAUCCAGGCCGAGCUCAACCUUGCCAUCCUCUUCCCUUAGCCUCAGAGAGAGCUCUGGAAUUGCAGGCAUGCACCACCAUGCCCAACCAGAAUGUGCUCUUAAAUAUUAAAGCUUAAAAAAAAAAAAAGAGGGGCUGGGGAUUUAGCUCAGCGGCAUAAGCACCUCCCUUGCAAGUGCGCAGUUGUGAGUUCAAUCCCUGGUACCGAUUAAAAAAAAAAAGAAAGAAAAACCCCAUAACCACAAUAUUCUCAAAUCGCAAACAGUGAACUGUAUUCCUUAAAGUCAUGAAACUGCUCAUGAGUUCGAGUUUUCCCUGUUACGACUGUUAUUUUGCAGUGGGUUUGGAUUUGAAUCAGAGAAGGUCACACAUCACACAUCUGCCUGAAUUUCUUGGAAUCCAGACAUUCUCCGGCUUUGCUUUUCUCGUCAUUUUGUUGAAGAAGAAACUGGGUCAUCUGCUGUAUAGUCUCCGGGUCUGGAUUCUGGCCAUGAUGUGCUCGAGUGGUAUUUCACAUGUGCUGCCGUCCCUUGUACUCCAGAUACACUCGUAGCUGAGUCUGAGGAACUGGAUUAUUUCUUAUGACUGGCUCUUCCUGUGUAGUCCUGGCUGCCCUUGAACUCAUUUUGUAGCCCAGGCUGGCUUGGAACUCACAACGAUCCUCCUGCCUCAGCCUCCCAAGUACUGGGAUAACAGGCGUGCACCACAGCUGGCCCUGUUGCUAGCCACCAGGUCUUGCCAGCCAGAAAUCAUGGGUGUAUCAAAAAAUAAUCUUUAUUGUCACAAGUAUAAAACA